AAGUGCUUAGAUUUCAAAAGCAAAGGUUGUCGCCGCUGAACUGAUAUGCAUGCAACUGUAUCAAUCUUUAACUAGUCACACUUUGAAGUCAAGGAAAUGGAAAAUUCUUAUUACAUCUUAAAGACAAGGAAGAAAAAUGUCGAGCUCUUUUGAGAUCCUACUGUUCAUGAUGAAGUUCUUGAAGGUGUAAACUCCAUCUGUAGUCAUAAAUGCUGUGGGCUCACUGCUCUACCCUGGGCUUCCAUACUGCUAACAGGAAAAAUCCGUCAUGAAAAUAGACCAGCUGCUGGCACAAAACCAAUAACACCUCCUCUCUUUUCACAGGGCAAAGUCACUGCAAUAAGUGCUGCAUCUCAACAGAUAGAAGUCUGAGAGCUUUCUCAGAGGACCUGUGGACACUGAACUACUAAGGUUAGAGG